rnacentral:lncRNA from 1 species
CUUGAAAUCUAGAUCAUUUGUAAAAAAUACAUAUCAUGAAUAUGGAGAAGUUUGAGGUUAGCCAUUGGAAUACCUUCGGUUUGUCGUCAACACUUUCUAAAACUCACACAGAUAAAUGUGAAAGAAAAGAAAUACUAGACUGUAAUCAUUGCCUGGGUUUUUGUUUUUGUUUUUUUCUUUUUCUUUUUAUGGCCACACGUUCGUCAUAUGGAGGUCCCAGGUUAGGGGCUGAAUCAGAGCUUCAGCUGAGGCCUGCAUCACAGCCACAGCAACACUGGAUCUGAGCUGUAUCUGUGACCUAUGCCACACCUUGGGGCAAGGCCAGAUUCUUAACUCAUUGAGCAAGGCCAGGGAUCGAAACCACAUCCUCAGAGACACUAAAUCGGGUUCUCGGCCCACUGAGCCAUAAUGGGCAAGAAUGGGAUUUUUAAACUUCCUCCAAAAGAGGCUGAAAUAGGAAGGAAUCAUAAAUGAGAUUAAAAAUUUGAUCAAUAACUCAAUGUAAGUGAUGUGGUAGGAAAAAAAUACCCGGCUGGGAGCUAAGUUUUGGUUUUUCCACUAUUUUUGUAUCUGCUGUAACUUUAGAUAGUGAGAGUUUGUUGUAAAAUUAUAUGUGAAAAAAAGAACUAAGGGACCUUUUGCUAACUCAGUAACAGAUAUGUUCUGGGCCUCAAAAAAAAAAAGGAAUAGAGCUUGAGAUUUAGAAGAUGAUUUAGGAUCCAAUGUUGUUUUUCUACCAAUAUUAACUUAUCAUUCUUUGGUUAGACAAUCUCUUGCCAAGAUUGUGACUCAGCUCUUCUCUUUAGUUCUACUGCUGGAUAUCUUUUAGUUUCUGCUUAGUCAUGACAUCUAUACUUUGCACUUGAAUGUAUUCACAACCUCUGCAUACUCACAGUCUCACAUGACCACUGCCACCUUAUCAUCUCUGAGCCCCAACUUCUGUGUCUUUUCCAGCAUCAGCCUUCCAUUACCAAAAGGAACACUCUCUGCAUUUUGCACUCUAGUUCUCCAAGGAAGAUAAUCUGAUGAGUGUUAUUGAGUCAUCAUUUUCUUUGGGUAAAGUUCUCAUGCCAGAUUUCUCUGCUACAAGCCAUUAGGUGGAUCCAUAAUACAGGGAUCCAGGCUCCCAGCCUUGACCUAAUCAGAGGCUGCUGAUGGAAAACAAUCAUAUGUAUUCAUCUGGGUUGUGUUAUCGAUGAAGCCAUCCAUCAGUACCUAGGGCUGUGGGUAGGGCCUAGACUUCCUCUCCACUGCACGUUUCUUCAAGACCUAUUUCCACACCUAUAAUAGCAAAAGUUGGAUCAUGCGUCCAUUAAAGUCCUUUCACAUUCUAAGGAAAUAUGAGUGGAUCUUUCGUAUUUGUCCCCCCCCCCCAUUUUUUUUUUUUAAGUUUUUUAGUUAUUACUCUUGUGUGAGGUAUUAUUCUAGAUGUUGAGGAAACAGGAGCAACUGAAACAGACCAAAUGUAUAACAAGAUUCAGGCAAGAGUAAAAUUUUACCCCAAAUGGUACAAAUGAAAUGGUUUUAAUAAGAGAGUGGCUUAUUUACAUAAGGAAAUGUUUAGAGAAGUGAUAAGCACCCCAAGACCAGCAAGACUUAGAAGCCACCACCACAGAUAAUGUUAAAUGGGCCAAGGGGACAUAAUAUUCAAACAAGGAGAUUUUAAGACAUGGUCACAAAGGAUGCAUACAGAUUCUGCCUAAAGACAAGGAAAUUGCAGGAAGAAGUUCCUCAAUCUCUUUUUCUCCUCACACUCUAGUUUACCAGGGCUUCUUACUGGCCUAAUCCAACUGAAAAUAUGAGAUCAAAUGACUCAAAGUGAUACAGUCUUCAGCCUCUGAGAGCACAGCGCAGAGUCAAGAAUUACAGAAAACAGACAGGAGGGAAUCAAAUGCAAGAUAAUUGGUGCACUAAUCUUACUAUCAAGUAGAGCAAACAGAUUAAACUAACUAAAACAAUAAAAUUUGAUUUAAAAAUAAGUACAAAGGAGGUAAAGGAAGAUGGAAAGUGUUUUCAAGGAGGAAGGGAUUAUUUUCUAUUAGUGCAAAAAUAGCACCUGUUGACCAUUUUUGUCAUUGUAAUAAAGAGGUAAAGCAUACUAGCCUUGGAUUCUUUUAUUUUGGAAUAUUUGAUAUGUGAAAGGAAUGUAUGUGACAUAUGCAAGUUAUGAACAUAAAAGGUAAAGCAAACACCAGGCAAUCACCACCAAUUUAAAAAGAAAAUACUAUCCACACCAUGACACUUCUUUGUUCUGCGUCAUCCUUUCCUCCUUUCUUAUUCUUCAUCAGUAGAACCCACUAGCCUGAGUUUUAAUUUUUAAUCACACUCUUUCAAAAAUACAUGUUAGUUUUGCUUAUUUUUGAAAUCUUUAAUUCAUUCUUUUCAGCCUUGCUUUUUCCACUCAAUAAUACUUUUUAAUAUUUACCCAUGGUGACCCUCAUUGUUGUAGUUCAACGUCUCUGUUGAAAAGAUGUUUCAUUAUAUGAAUAUUGUAUAAUUUGUUCAUCCAUUUUCCUAAGGAUUUUAUGUUAUUGUCAAUUUGUUGCUAUUAUGAUACUGGUGCAAAUAUUCUCACACCUCUCUUUUGGAUCCAUAAGCAAGUACUUCUUCGUGAUGUAUAACGCAUACAAGAAUCAAACUGGUAUGUUGUGGAGACUGUGCAUGUUACACUUUUCCAAAAUAGUACCAAUGUGUUUUUCCUACUGGUUGUAUCUGUGUAUAUUCUCACCACCAACAUUUAAGAGUCUCCCUUGAUUCACAUAGUUAUUUGAUGCUAUGGGUUAAGUAUUUGUAUCUCCCUAUAAAUUCAUAUGUUGAUAUCCUAGCCCCCAAGUGCUGCUUACAAGCAACCUGAAUUAUGAUUCUAGACAACAUCACCAUGAUAAGCAAAUGAAAGGAACACUUGAUCUAACAGCUGCUAAGACUUACUAGAAGGUUGUUAUAAUAAAAACAGUAAAAUAUUAAUACAAAAACAGACAAAUUGACCUAGAGAAUAGAAUGACUGUGAGACAGACUCAUAUCUCAGAAUUUAUGUUAUAAUAAACAUGGCACCACAGGUCAGACUGUUUGUAAAUGAUAAUAGAAAAACUUCUCAUUAUGGAGAAAAAUCCAUACUUAUCUGUACCUACCAGAACAGAAUUCAGAUAUAGUAAAGAAAUAAUCCAAAAGAAACCAUAAAGGCAGACAAUAAUGUGCCCUCAGGUUAGGGAAGAUCUUCUUAAAAUUCCAAAGGCAUAGUUAAUACUUUUCAUCACAUCAAAUUAAGAAUUUCUGUGAAUCAAGUUCACAUAAAGCUGCUACAGAGAUAUGAUAUUUGCUAUGUCUAAAAUCACAAGAAAUUAUUACCUAGAAUAUAAAAGAAACACAUCCAUAUGAAAAAGCAUAGGAAUCUUAAAUUUAAAAACUAAGUGCAGGAUAUUUAAAGCAAUUCAGAGCCAAAGAAAUAUAUGUUUUGAUGCUGAAAAUCAUUAGUAAUCAGAGGAAUGUGAUUUAAAACAAAGAGAUAUCACUUUAGGCCCAUCAUAUCCUAAAUACAGAGUGUUGAGUGAAAAAAAUAAGAAUCCUCAUACCGUCUAUGUAAAUUAAGUAUGUAAACUCAUUAAAUAGUUUAUAAUUUACAUUAAUAGUUUAGGAAAGAAGAGUAUAAACCAACUCUACUUUGGGAAAUUGGGAGUGAGGAGUGAACAAGACAUCUUGCAAAGAACAAUGAGGAUUACUAAGGAACCCUUGGCUCCUUAAAGCAAAGCAAAACCAGAGUGCACAGACAAAACCGUAAUGUACCAUCUUAAAUUCCCCACUCCUUCUUGGAAGGCCUACCCACAGGACACCCAUCUCAGGAGCCCACCAUCAUCUAAGCUUUUGCUUCCCUGGGAAUCUUGGUUCCCCACAGUCCUAAUGAGCCUUUUAUAGGCUAAGAAUAAAAAUGGUCAGGUCUGCAGGCACCAGGAAAGUCACAGCAGAAUCAGAGUUGGAUGGUGGUGGGUUGUUGGUUCCUGAGCUCUGUCCUAUAGAACAGUCUCCCCAGAGGGAACUGGGAAUCCAAGAUCAGACAGAACUGGGC